rnacentral:snRNA from 1 species
UAUGAGGCUGAUCUGGCUGCUGUACGUGUGACCCCAUCAACUGCUAGGGCUGAGCUGGCUAAUCUGAAGGGCUAGCAUCUCCUUCAUCUGGUCCUCACUGAGCUGUGGACAACCCUCUAAAAGCUGAAUGCUCUGUCAAAAAGGAUACCCUUCCCAGACUGGAAGAGCUGUUCUUCAAAGGUAUUCAGGUGCUAUACUGAUGUGAAGAAACACAGCUUUUGGGCUCUUCUGCCGACAUUGUUCUGUGAGCUUUUCUUAAUUUCUGGAGUGCUCAAUGCAUUAUCUAGGUCUAU